GAUGAACGCCGGCGGCGCGCCUAUUUCAUGCAAGUCGAGCGAACGGACGAGAAGCUUGAUUUUCUGAUGUUAGCGGCGGAAGGGUGAGUAAUACGUGAAUAACCUACCUAUAAGAAUGGGAUACAUUCGGGAAACCGGAGCUAAUAACGGAUGAUAUUUUGAACCGUAUGGUUCAUAAGUGAAAGACGGUCUUGGUGUCACUUAUAGAUGGAUCCGCUCUGCAUUAGCUAGUUGGGAAGGUAAUGGCUUAUCAAGGAAACGAUGCAUAGCCGACCUGAGAGGGUGAUCGGCCACACUGGAACUGAGACACGGUCCAGACUCCUACGUGAGGCACCAAUAGGGAAUCUUCCGCAAUGGGCGAAAUCCUGACGGAGCAACGCCGCGUGAGUGAUGAAGGUCUUCGUAUCGUAAAACUCUGUUAUUAGUGAAGAACAUAUGUGUAAGUAACUGUGCACAUCUUGACGGUACCUAAUCAGAAAGCCACGGCUAACUACGUG
rnacentral:rRNA from 1 species